rnacentral:rRNA from 1 species
GAUGAACGCUGGCGGCGUGCUUAACACAUGCAAGUCGAACGAAGCACUUUAUUUGAUUUCCUUCGGGACUGAUUAUUUUGUGACUGAGUGGCGGACGGGUGAGUAACGCGUGGGUAACCUGCCUUGUACAGGGGGAUAACAGUUGGAAACGGCUGCUAAUACCGCAUAAGCGCACAGCAUCGCAUGAUGCAGUGUGAAAAACUCCGGUGGUAUAAGAUGGACCCGCGUUGGAUUAGCUAGUUGGUGAGGUAACGGCCCACCAAGGCGACGAUCCAUAGCCGACCUGAGAGGGUGACCGGCCACAUUGGGACUGAGACACGGCCCAAACUCCUACGGGAGGCAGCAGUGGGGAAUAUUGCACAAUGGGCGAAAGCCUGAUGCAGCGACGCCGCGUGAGCGAAGAAGUAUUUCGGUAUGUAAAGCUCUAUCAGCAGGGAAGAUAAUGACGGUACCUGACUAAGAAGCACCGGCUAAAUACGUU